rnacentral:tRNA from 1 species
AAGGAUUUAAGUUAAAUAAAAAACUAAUAGCCUUCAAAGCUAUAAUUAGAGAGGCUCUCUAGGCCUUA